rnacentral:rRNA from 1 species
CUAUGGUGGAGGAUAACCCCGGGAAACUGGGGAUAAUACUCCAUAAGUCAGGAGUACUGGAAUGUCUCCUAACUGAAAGUUGCGGCGCCAUAGGAUGAAUCUGCGGCCGAUUAGGUAGUUGUUGGGGUAACGGCCCAACAAGCCCGUAAUCUGGCACGGGUUGUGGGAGCAAGAGCCCGGAGAUGGAAUCUGAGACACGAUUCCAGGCCCUACGGGGCGCAGCAGGCGCGAAAACUUUACAAUGCAGGAAACUUUCUUUAUGGGAACCCCGAGUGCCCGUAAACGCGGGCUGUCCCGGUGUUUAAAACACAUCGGAAGAAAGGGCCGGGCAAGACCGGUGCCAGCCGCCGCGGUAAUACCGGCGGCUCGAGUGGUGACCACUUUUAUUGGGCUUAAAGCGUUCGUAGCUUGAUUUUUAAGUCUCUUGGGAAAUCUCACGGCUUAACUGUGAGGCGUCUAAGAGAUACUGGGAAUCUAGGGACCGGGAGAGGUAAGAGGUACUCUCAGGGGUAGAAGUGAAAUUCUGUAAUCCUUGAGGGACCACCGAUGGCGAAGGCAUCUUACCAGACGGCUUCGAC